CAGAGCGGCCUGGUCCUUGUCCGGGAUGCGCGUUUCACCCUGCCCUGAGCUCAUCCUGCGUUCCCUGGGGCAGCGCAGGAGUCAGCUUGGGAGAGGUACCUUCCCUGCUUGAAGGAGCAGCAGCUGGCUCUAGGCUUCUCUGACCGCAUAAACAAAUUUGUGCGCAUCACAGGGAACUGGAAACAACUCAUGCUCAAGGCAAGAAGUCAUUUUUCUCGUCCCUGCAUUCACUUUUCCCUUCCACGAAUCCCAGAGGAAUCUACUAAGCUGGAGGUAUGGAUUCACUCCAAGAAAAGGUACUCUUGCCUCAGGGACCAUCCGGAGAUCUCACAGUCCAACCACACCCCAAUUCCCAAGAGCCUGCUCAUUUGAGGCUGCACAUUUGAAUCCUAUUGGGGGACGGAGCGAUUAGAGCGGUCAACCAAUCAAGAGCAAGUAUCAUUGGCUAUGACAAAACGAGCUUGAAGAGUGGCAGAGUCCACGUACUCUGCCGGUGUGUGCAUGGUGCAGGACCACCUACUGGAGCAUGAGAAACCUGCCAGGCGCUGCAUCCCUGAAAAACCAACACUCCUCCUGACAGCAGCCAUCAACUGCUAAUAACUUUUCAGUCAGGGUGGGACUUCAGGGGCCCACCCCCCACCCAUGCUAGGGUUUGGUUGGCUUGGUCUCAUGCCUGCAGUCACAGUCGAUGUGACCCUCAUCGUGUCCAGCCGACACCGUUUCACUGCAGGCACCCAUGGCGUCUGGUUCUUACAAUGCUCCCUGAGCCUUGUGGAAAGGAAAGGAAAGGGGAUAUAAAUGUCUCACUUAGA